GAAGAGCCAAAAAGUACUAUUGAGGAAUACAAACGCAAAAGCAGCAGCAGUAACAACAACAGAAAACAGUUUUGUUAGAUAAAUGGCCUUGGGCAAAAGUCUUUAUAACUGCAAUCACAUAAGUUAGUGGAAACAGUGUCAGGCUUUCCCAGAUGGAGACAAUAUAGUGAGAUUAUUCACCCAGUGUUUAUUCACAAGAUUGACCGAAGCUUAUUUAGAUGACCAAAUUAUGAACAUUGUGACCCCACCCUGAGGCUGUAAGAGUGUGCCUGAUGAGAGAAUGCGUACUUGAAGCAGUUAUAAGGCUUAAUAUAUUCAAGAAGACCAAGCGAUCCUUAUAGGACUACAUGCAAAGCAAUGUACUCCAGACCGCACAACUGGACAUACAGAUUGUGCCCUGAUGCCAUCUGCCCCGUUCUCCCAGCCUCAUCUUCCCUCUCUAUGCCUAGCUUCACAUCGGUUGGCUCUUCUUUGGCUCUCUUCAUCCCGUCUGCCUGCCUCGCUGCUCUCCCUGAUAACAUUUCCUGACUGAUGCCUUGCACUCUGACUCUUUCUGCAAGGUGCCAUUCUCAGCAGUGACUCAAUUUAGUGCCACCCUGCUGAUUGGCAUUGCACUUCUGAGGUCAUCACCAUCUUUCUUCAGCCAAACAAAAUGAUUCUCACCAACAACCCCGGCUCUGCUAAGCUUGAUGUUGGAGGUCUGCUGUUUUUGAAGCAGGGGACCACUGUCCAUUAAAGGCUUCAUAAACCAUUUAACAAAAUCACAUAAGAUAGGGUAGUUCAUACUCCAUGCGAUGUGCCAUACAAUGGAAGGGCCAUGUUCCUUAUCAUAUCUGGAUACUGCAAAGCUCCUGUCUCCUCAACAAUUUACGCACUAAUCAAUUAUUAAAUGAAGAAAUGCUAUGUAAAAGCAAAGAUAUUUCUUCCUGUGGAAUUUGAGUCUUAAAUGUAGUAAUUACUGUUUUAUGGCAUAAAUAAAAGUUAAAUAUUAUAUUAUUUUAAAAGCAUCAUGUAUCUUUUUUCAUUCCUAAUGUAUUCUACUAGUAGUGUGUCAGGCACUUUAACCCUUAUGAAAAAAGCCAAGGAAAAUAGAGAGCAUCAUAUCAAAACAACUGUUUAUUUGCACAUGCAACAUUAAACUAUGGUAUACAUCUCUGUUUUCAUUACAAUAUUGAAAAGGAUGAGUAUUUGGAGUCUACAGUACUGCUUGCUCCAUCUCCAGCAAAGAUAAAAACAUCCUAAGAAAAAUGACUCAUUCACACAGUAUUCCUCUUUUUACAACCGCGACACAUUUUGCACAGACAACACAGCAUCUGGAGGACGUAUAUGAUCCUCACCAGUGUUAUUUAUUGUUUUUCCUGUGUGUGUCUAAUGAUGAUAAAAAAAUUAUAAUUGAUCAAUUAUACUUUGAAGGAUAAAGCAAAACUACUAUAUUUACUAUAAAGCUAUCUAAACCAAUAGCAGCUUCAUAAGACUUAAGGUGGUUAUCAAAGGGACUAACAAACAAAUAUAAUGCAUAUGGGUUGACCUGUGAAAACAUAAUGUCCUGUUUUCAUUUGUCAGUUACCAGUUAGGCUUUAGAAACAUGAUAAAGUUAAAGUGUAUUUAAAAAUAUAGUUUGGAGAAAUGUGUGAAAGUGGUCAUGAAUUUCAAGGGUUGAAUGAUUAUAGUUAACUGUUUAAAAAUAUGUAGUUGUAGCCUACUAAUGCUUUUAUAAAAUGCUCAAAAUAUAUUUUAGAUUACAUCCUGUGAUAUCCAAGCCUUCUUUCUUUCUGUGUUUUCAAAGCUCCACACCAGUAGGUGGUGGUAAAGAAAACCGUGUAGGUACGCGUUAACACGUGAUUUACGUGUUAACACGUGAUUUACGCGUUAACACGUAGUGCGUGAUGGCAUUUUCUUCUUGAACCCCGCAAGGAGAAACGGAGGCAUGAGUAUGAAACAAUCGACUUACAU